AUUUUGGAUUGAGACUAUUGGGUUAAGUGUGUUUAAUUUCAAGUUGGACAAAAAUGCCCUUACGUAACAUUUUGUGAAUUUUUCAAAGAACAUUUAAGAAAUUGAAGUAAGACCAAUAUGAUUCUUAGGUAGGACGAUAGUAGUCGACUCAAUGAACACGUCGGAAAUCGUUUCUAAAUUUUGGGCCAAAAUGACCAAAAUACCCCAAUGUGUGAAAAUUACCAAAAUAUCCUUGUAGGAAAAAAAAAAAAAAAGGAAUCUCAAACAUGGAGGGCAGCAGCCCACUCUCCUCCAAUUCUUUCCCCUUUGCCUUAAGUUUUCAAAUCCACAAUCAUUUUGGAGAUGAGUUGGUAUAUCUGAGUCAUUAGCCUAAGGUGUGAGUUGAAAGGCUACUAGGAGGUGAGUCACCUAGACUAAGAUUCCUCAAUGAUGAAUAUGAUUUUAUUAGAGCUAUACAGAGUUGGAUGAAGUAAGGAGAGAUUGAGCGAGAGAGGAAGAUGAAGAAGCUUGGAAAUGUUUUUGAGUUGGUAUGGAAAGGAUUUAAGACGAAGUUUGAGGAAGCGGGUUUCAACCAAGUUACUAUGCCUUUGUUAUUGAAUUGUGUAAUUAGUAUUUGUAAGUAGUCAACCGUUUAAUAAGGAUUUUAGUAUGUAUUUAACUACGUGCUAUUA